rnacentral:miRNA from 1 species
CUCUUAAUGGAUUCUCUUGAAAAUAUAAAACCAAAUAAACAUAAGUCUUAUAUGGUUUUAUAUUUUCAAGAGAAUCCAUUAAGAG